AGUGAACGCUGGCGGUAGGCCUAACACAUGCAAGUCGAACGGCAGCACAGUAAGAGCUUGCUCUUACGGGUGGCGAGUGGCGGACGGGUGAGGAAUACAUCGGAAUCUACUUUUUCGUGGGGGAUAACGUAGGGAAACUUACGCUAAUACCGCAUACGACCUACGGGUGAAAGCAGUGGAUCUUCGGACCUUUCGCGAUUGAAUGAGCCGAUGUCGGAUUAGCUAGUUGGCGGGGUAAAGGCCCACCAAGGCGACGAUCCGUAGCUGGUCUGAGAGGAUGAUCAGCCACACUGGAACUGAGACACGGUCCAGACUCCUACGGGAGGCAGCAGUGGGGAAUAUUGGACAAUGGGCGCAAGCCUGAUCCAGCAAUACCGCGUGGGUGAAGAAGGCCUUCGGGUUGUAAAGCCCUUUUGUUGGGAAAGAAAAGCAGCAGGUUAAUACCCCGCUGUUCUGACGGUACCCAAAGAAUAAGCACCGGCUAACUUCGUG
rnacentral:rRNA from 1 species